rnacentral:rRNA from 2 species
AGGCUUAACACAUGCAAGUCGAGCGCCCCGCAAGGGGAGCGGCAGACGGGUGAGUAACGCGUGGGAAUCUACCCUUUUCUACGGAAUAACGCAGGGAAACUUGUGCUAAUACCGUAUAAGCCCUUCGGGGGAAAGAUUUAUCGGGAAAGGAUGAGCCCGCGUUGGAUUAGCUAGUUGGUGGGGUAAAGGCCUACCAAGGCGACGAUCCAUAGCUGGUCUGAGAGGAUGAUCAGCCACAUUGGGACUGAGACACGGCCCAA